rnacentral:misc_RNA from 1 species
GAUGAAGAACGUAGCGAAAUGCGAUAAGUAAUGUGAAUUGCAGAAUUCAGUGAAUCAUCGAAUCUUUGAACGCACAUUGUGCCCCUUGGUAUUCCGAGGGGCAUGCCUGUUCGAGCGUCAUUACACCACUCAAGCUAUGCUUGGUAUUGGGCGUCGUCCUUAGUUGGGCGCGCCUUAAAGACCUCGGCGAGGCCACUCCGGCUUUAGGCGUAGUAGAAUUUAUUCGAACGUCUGUCAAAGGAGAGGAACUCUGCCGACUGAAACCUUUAUUUUUCUAGGUUGACCUCGGAUCAGGUAGGGAUACCCGCUGAACUUAAGCAUAUCAAUAAGCGGAGGA